rnacentral:rRNA from 1 species
CGCGGCCUAUCAGCUUGUUGGUGAGGUAACGGCUCACCAAGGCUCCGACGGGUAGCUGGUCUGAGAGGACGAUCAGCCACACUGGGACUGAGACACGGCCCAGACUCCUACGGGAGGCAGCAGCAGGGAAUUUUGCACAAUGGGCGAAAGCCUGAUGCAGCGACGCCGCGUGCGGGAUGAAUGCCUUCGGGUUGUAAACCGCUUUCAGGAGGGACGAAGCGAAAGUGACGGUACCUCCAGAAGAAGCCCCGGCCAACUACGUGCCAGCAGCCGCGGUAAUACGUAGGGGGCGAACGUUGUCCGGAUUUAUUGGGCGUAAAGAGCUCGUAGGCGGCUCAGCAAGUCGGCCGUGAAAACCCGGGGCUCAACCCCGGGACGCCGGUCGAAACUGCUGUGGCUAGGGUUCGGUAGAGGAGAGUGGAAUUCCCGGUGUAGCGGUGAAAUGCGCAGAUAUCGGGAGGAACACCAGUAGCGAAGGCGGCUCUCUGGGCCGAUACCGACGCUGAGGAGCGAAAGCUAGGGGAGCAAACAGGAUUAGAUACCCUGGUAGUCCUAGCCGUAAACGUUGGGCACUAGGUGUGGCGGACUCAUUGACGUCUGCCGUGCCGCAGCUAACGCAUUAAGUGCCCCGCCUGGGGAGUACGG